AUUGAACGCUGGCGGCAUGCCUUACAUAUGCAAGUCGAACGGUAACAGGUCUUCGGAUGCUGACGAGUGGCGAACGGGUGAGUAAUACAUCGGAACGUGCCUAGUAGUGGGGGAUAACUACUCGAAAGAGUGGCUAAUACCGCAUGAGAUCUACGGAUGAAAGCAGGGGAUAGCAAGACCUUGUGCUACUAGAGCGGCCGAUGGCAGAUUAGGUAGUUGGUGGGAUAAAAGCUUACCAAGCCGACUAUCUGUAGCUGGUCUGAGAGGACGAUCAGCCACACUGGGACUGAGAAACGGCCCAGACUCCUACGGGAGGCAGCAGUGGGGAAUUUUGGACAAUGGGCGCAAGCCUGAUCCAGCAAUGCCGCGUGCAGGAUGAAGGCCUUCGGGUUGUAAACUGCUUUUGUACGGAACGAAAAGCCCCGGGUUAAUACCCUGGGGUCAUGACGGUACCGUAAGAAUAAGCACCGGCUAACUACGUGCCAGCCGCCGCGGUAA
rnacentral:rRNA from 1 species